CCUACGGGUGGCAGCAGUGAGGAAUAUUGGUCAAUGGGCGAGAGCCUGCACCAGCCAAGUCGCGUGAAGGAUGACGGCCCUACUGGUUGUACACUUCUUUUGUCAGGGAGCAAUUGGGUCCACGCGUGGGCUUAGCGAGAGUACCUGAAGAAAAAGCAUCUGCUAACUCCGUGCCAGCAGCCGCGGUAAUACGGAGGAUGCGAGCGGUAUCCGGAUUUAUUGGGUUUAAAGGGUGCGUAGGCGGAAUAUCAAGUCAGCGGUAAAAAUUCGGGGCGCCACCCCGUCGUGCCGUUGAAACUGAUGUUCGUGAGUGGGCGAGAAGUAAGCGGAAUGCGUGGUGUAGCGGUGAAAUGCUUAGAUAUCACGAAGAACCCCGAUUGCGAAGGCAGCCUGCCGCAGCGUUACUGACGCUGAAGCUCGAAAGCGCGGGUAUCGAACAGGAUUAGAUACCCCAGUAGGC
rnacentral:rRNA from 1 species